GACUUCCUGAUAAUAAUGAAUUACAGUCGUCCAGCCUGGAAGUAAUAAAUGCAUGAACUAGUUUUUCAGCGUCACUCUGAGACAGGAUAUUUCUAACUUUAGAGAUGUUGCACAAAUGGAAGAAUGCAGUCUCACAUAUUUGUUUAGGAGGUGUCUGAGAGGAGAAUGCUAAAAAAGCUUCUUUGUAUCAUGGCUAACCCCUCCCACCCCAUGCACCCCUCCAUGAUCAGACCACACGCAGCAAAAGACUCAUCGCUCCGAAGAACUGACUGCCACAGGAAAUCCUCUUCCUCACUCUCCCCGACGGCGUGUCUGCGUACGUGGAAAAUCAACUUUAUAAACCCACCCUGGUCCAGACCUCUACAGCCGGUGAAUGAUGACCACCAGGUAGCACGUCACGUUUCCAUUUGGCCUCAACAGAAGCAAAAACGGCAGAAAGUGAUGGGUUAAUGGGGAUCUGUGGACGCUGCAGGAGCACUGAGCUCAAACAAAACCCCUCCCAGCUCCCAGCUCUGUGUUAAAAUGCAGCCAAAAUAUUCAGAGAUGAUUCAGGGAACUGCAAAGCCAAAUACAAUACCACCAGGCUCAGCCUAACAAGCAAACAGAAAUCCCAGCAGUGGAAAAGAAAGGUCAUCGCUGUUCCGAGAGAGGAGAGGCUGUUUGCUGACUUUACACUGACACACAAAGCUCGAAAGCUCCAGAGAUCUCACAUUCUCCUCUCUGAGAUUCUCCCAGGGAGGGAGAAACAUCCUCUGCUGUUUCCAUUUCAGCUCUUUGUGGCUGCAGAUGAUUAAUAGCUGUCUAAUUACAGAGGUACAGCAAUCCUGUUUAUCUUUCGUGCAGCAGAGAAGGCGCAUCGUGCUGUUUCAUUCGUGUUUCCUCGCUCUCUGAAAAUCCGUCUGAACUCACCAGGUUCACCUGGAACUUCAUUAGCAUCCACUCCACUAAUGGUUUGUCUUCUCGUGAGCAGAUGGCAUUGAUCAGGAUCUGCACGAGUGUUGGAGAGUCUCUGCAGAGAGUGGAGCCACACAAACAUGCUCAUCAUUACCGCACUAAAUAGUGAAACUCUGAGGAUCCACCAAGGCGCAGGUUGAGCUAGAGUCAGCGAGGUGAGGCUCAGGGGGAAACGCUGUAUUAAAACGAUGUGUAGGAGCCUAUUUCACAUUCACAAAUGGAGACAUUGAUUAGUAUUCCUUCAGCGUACGUGGCUAAAAUCCACCCUAACCCUAUCAAAAGUUUCUUAUUUCCCAUAUUUGUCCUGUUUCACAGCUGGAUGUUGAUAAAAUAACGAGCUCAGUGUAUCACAGUGCGUGCUCUCACAGCAGACGGUAAAUAGGUUCUAAUGUAGAACGUUUCCACUCUGCACUCAAAGUGUGUUACGCAGCUGAUGGCCCCGCCCCUCCCUGAGCCUGGUUCUGCUGGAGGUUUCUUCUUCAUGUGAUUGUUGGGUUUUCUCUGUAUUAUUGUCGGGUUUUUAGCACCUUGAAGUGAAUGUUGCUGUGAUUUGAUAUAUAAAUACAAUUAAUCCCUCUGAGCUCAAAGCUAAAGCUGCACACUGCUCUGAGCACUCAGUGUAUCAGGGUUUAUUUUUCAACAAGACAGAAGCUCCACCCUCCUGAGGUUCAGAGCUUCUGUUCAGGAGGGAGAACACUGUUGGCUUAAAGGAGGAGGAGCUACUUCUGAGUCAGGUAAAGCAGGAUUAUUGACUCUGCAGAGCUGCUCGUGGCUUCUCAUAGACGGAGCUGGAAACGAGCGGGUUUCAUGUCAGCACAGUUUUGUUUUAGACUCAGGAAUGAAUAAAAAAGUUCACGUCACACAUCACAGUGAAAUAUGACAAGAUGACUUCUAUCUUAUCUCAAAGUGUACUCAGAGUUUCCACAUGCACAGGGUUUUAUUCCAGCAGUUCCUAUUUAAAGACAAAGAUGGAACGGACUCAUCUUUGUUUAAUGUCACUUUACUGAUGUUUACGUUUCUUCUCUAUUUUCGUGCACAGCUCUCGCAGCAUCAGGAGCAGGCUGCCAGGGUUGUAGUGGUGUAGGAGGCAAGAAAGAAAGGAUUCAAUCGCUGUUGUUGGAAGCAGAUGUUCGAGCUCUUUCACAUUAAUCUGAUUGCUGUAUAAAAUAACUGCUCCACACAGAUUUGCACAAAUUAUUAUUUUGCCCUGAAGUUACAUCCAUCAGUUCUGCAGCAGAUUCUCAGCGCGUUCAGGGGGGACGUUCUCAAACUACCCGUAAAUGGUGCAGAGACGCCGACCUCAGGCCUGCAGUCGAUACACAUGGAGGGCAGACACCUGUUAAAGAAUGAACGCACGGUAACACUGGAAGGGGAGACAUGGCUCUGCCUAAUAUGUGAUUUUAAAACAACACGUGUUAAGUCUAAUUGUUGAAUGUUGCCAUUGUGUUUCUUAAAUUUGUACAGUCUUAGUUCAAGCAGUAGGAUCAAAGCCAUUCCUUUGAUCCUGACCACCUCUCCAGCCACUCUGUGCUGGGGGAGGUUUUAUUGUAGAUACAUCCUAUCUGAAAGAUCUGUUUCUUUUGAUGUAAGCUUCCUGCGUUUACGACCCUUUGGUCAGCAGGAGGUCUGACACACACACACUCUUACAGAAGUUCACACAUAUAUAUAUAAAAUGCUUUGUCUUAGAACCAAGGGGGCGUGGCUUUGUUCUGACGUGUUUUGUGUGAACUGUCUCUCAAUAAAAGGCAGCAGGAGGAGGUCAGAUCUGGGGGUCAUUUUCGUGGUGGACACAGACGAGGCCUCCCUUGCGCAAAUAAUCGAUCGAUCGACUGUCUUGUUUUCUUCAUGAUGAAUAAGUCUCUAGAAUUAGCGGGGCUUGUGGAAACACAGACCCAACAACA
ensembl:lncRNA